CCCUCCCCGCCCCAGUCACAGGAAGGGCCCUUUCCUUGCUGCUCUCUCACCAUGAUCUGAGAUCCACUCACUUUUUUUUCCCUCCCCAGGCUUAUGGAAGGAGAGAAAUCCACAUCAGCAGAUAGCCUGGACGAGUCCCAUGAAUCAGGCACACCUCUCCGGCAAUUUCAAUCAUUUGAAUAAUGAUAUUCAUAUUCAUGGCACAUAAGACCCUUCCAUCAGCUGAGAAUUGUCGCUAAGACUCCUAUGGAAUGCCAAUAAGGACAUCGAGAUCUUUUGAUGAUGCUGUGGCUUGGAAGGUGCUGCAGCAGAUGAACCACGGGGUUCCAGGUCAGCAGAAGGUAUUGAGGGCUCCUGUGUACCAGGUACGGUUCUUGUUGCUGGAGGUGUUCACAGAGCUUCCUGGCAUCUACUAUCUUGCAGAAGACACAGAAGAUAAAACUUCUAUCAAAAGGUAAUUACAAUCAUGUUAGGGAAUGGUAAAAUACAGAAAAAAAAAAAAAAGGGCAGGAAAGGGCCAUAUAGAAAGUCAAGGGGUGUUCUUUUAACAUGAUGGUCAAGAAAGGCCUCUCCGAGAAAGUAACAUUUAAGCACAAAAUAGAAUGAAAUGAGGGAGAAAGCCAUGGCUAUACCUGGAGGAGGGUGGUUCUAGGCAGAAGGAAGUGCAAAGCCCCUGGGGCAGGAAUGUGCUCAGCCUCCUGCAGGAACGGCAGGGCGCCCAGGGUGGCUGGAGAGCAGUUGCCCAGGGAAGCGUGGUGGGUGAGUAGAAGAGAGGUCCCGGGGGCUGGGUUAUAGCUGGAGUGUACUGAGACGCAUUGGUGGUCUCCUGUGUGUCUGCCUUGUCUCUCUGUUGAAACGGAAAACCCCAUGGCUCAGUGGAGCAGCGCAGUUGUGACUUUGGUCUCGCGUGUCAGACAGAUCUGGCUGUUAGCCAGGCUCACAACGCAAUACCACCUUGGAAAUGUCUCUGAAUCUCUCUCAGCCUCGCUUGCCUCCUCUAGAAAAAGGAGAUCAUCGCAGUGCCCAUGCCUAUCUCAUUGAAUGUUUAUGAGGAUUGAAUGAAAUAAUUUGGCAAAGGCAUCCAGCAUUAAGUCCUCCGUAUGUGUCAGCUGUUAUAAGUGAGGGCAGCAGACCUCUGCAGUUUUCACUGAUCAAUCAGCCGAUCCGUAUUAAGCCCUUAGCACAGGCAAGACUUGUGGUGGACCAUCCCGUACUUCCUAGCAUUGUGAUGCCACAUAACCCGUCUCCUAGUGAAUUUUUGUAGACUUACCUUUCAGCAAUCACUUUCUAACCCAGCACUCGGCAGCCUGACAACUCUAUUCAGAACCUAAGAACUCUAAGGAACACAAAAUAUGUCUUUGAAUUCCCAAAACACCUGUCAGAAGGAUUAGGCCCUAAAACGAUAAACUUGAAUCAUGGAGAGCUCUCCAUUUCUAACUUGCCUUUAAACCCAAUCUC
rnacentral:lncRNA from 1 species